CCUACGUGUGGCAGCAGUGAGGAAUAUUGGUCAAUGGCCGAGAGGCUGAACCAGCCAAGUCGCGUGAGGGAAGACGGCCCUACGGGUUGUAAACCUCUUUUGUCGGGGAGCAAAGCGAACCACGUGUGGUUCAUUGAGAGUACCCGAACAAAAAGCAUCGGCUAACUCCGUUCCAGCAGCCGCGGUAAUACGGAGGAUGCGAGUGUUAUCCGGAUGUAUUGGGUUAAAAGGGUGCGCAGGCGGAGGUGCAAGUCAGCGGUCAAAUUGCGGGGCUCAACCCCGUACUGCCGUUGAAACUGCAUCACUUGAGUGCGCGAGAAGUAUGCGGAAUGCGUGGUGUAGCGGUGAAAUGCAUAGAUAUCACGCAGAACUCCGAUUGCGAAGGCAGCAUACCGGCGCGCAACUGACGCUCAUGCACGAAAGCGUGGGUAUCGAACAGGAUUAGAUACCCUGGUAGUC
rnacentral:rRNA from 1 species